GUACAGAGAGAGAGAAAGAAAGAAAGAAAUCGAGAGCGAGAGAAAGAGCUAUAAAGAAAGAGAAAGAGAAAAAUCCCUGGCGAAAAAAAUUCUUCACGAGGUGGGAUUGGAACCCGCGUACCGUCGAUCCCAAGGCGAGCAUCCUAAGCACUCGUGUAUCCAGGCACGCUAGCACAGCCUUGUAUAGUCUUCUAUGUAUUGUGUAG
rnacentral:lncRNA from 1 species